GACGAACGCUGGCGGCGUGCCUAAUACAUGCAAGUCGAACGAACUCUGGUAAUGAUUGGUGCUUGCAUCAUGAAUUACAUUUGAGUGAGUGGCGAACUGGUGAGUAACACGUGGGAAACCUGCCCAGAAGCGGGGGAUAACACCUGGAAACAGAUGCUAAUACCGCAUAACAACUUGGACCGCAUGGUCCGAGUUUGAAAGAUGGCUUCGGCUAUCACUUUUGGAUGGUCCCGCGGCGUAUUAGCUAGAUGGUGAGGUAACGGCUCACCAUGGCAAUGAUACGUAGCCGACCUGAGAGGGUAAUCGGCCACAUUGGGACGGAGACACGGCCCAAACUCCGACGGGAGGCAGCAGUAGGGAAUCUUCCACAAUGGACGAAAGUCUGAUGGAGCAACGCCGCGUGAGUGAAGAAGGGUUUCGGCUCGUAAAACUCUGUUGUUAAAGAAGAACAUAUCUGAGAGUAACUGUUCAGGUAUUGACGGUAUUUAACCAGAAAGCCACGGCUAACUACGUGCCAGCCGCCGCGGUAA
rnacentral:rRNA from 1 species